rnacentral:rRNA from 1 species
AUUGAACGCUGGCGGCAUGCCUUACACAUGCAAGUCGAACGGUAACAGGUCUUCGGAUGCUGACGAGUUGCGAACGGGUGAGUAAUACAUCGGAACGUGCAUAGUAGUUGGGGAUAACUACUCGAAAGAGUGGCUAAUACCGCAUUAGAACUACGGAUGAAAGCAGUGGAUCGCAAGACCUUGUGCUAAUAUAAAGGCUGAUGGCAGAUUAGGUUGUUGGUGGGAUAAAAGCUUACCAAGCCGACGAUCUGUAGCUGGUCUGAGAGGACGAUCAGCCACACUGGGACUGAGACACGGACCAGACUCCUACGGUAGGCAGCAGUGGGGAAUUUUGGACAAUGGGCGCAAGCCUGAUCCAGCAAUGCCGCGUGCAGGAUGAAUGCCUUCGGGUUGUAAACUGCUUUUGUACGGAACGAAAAGCCCCGGGUUAAUACCCUGGGGUCAUGACGGUACCGUAAGAAUAAGCACCGGCUAACUACGUGCCAGCCGCCGCAGUAA